rnacentral:lncRNA from 1 species
UUGGGUGGGGGGGCUUCGAACGUGAGACAUCGUCCAACAUUUGGAAGAGAAGUAUAACUUGUCCAUUUCAACACAAACAAACUUGAUAAAUGAUGAACUUGUAUUGAUGAUCGUGUGUAUUCAAGCACUUUGUAUUCAUUAAUCAUUGUAAAAAUGUAAAUGAAGCACUUCGGUUUUUUGUUUUUUUAUUUUUUAUUUUUGGGUAAAUAGGUUAAACUACACAAAUGUUUCAAGUCCAUUCCAUGCUACCCUAAUUGAGUUUUGCAACCCAUCAUUUGACUGUGCCUUCUAACUUCACCCACUGAGAUGGAUAAUGGAUGAAAUGAUGGCAUCAUGGAGAGAAACAUAUGCUAGUAACUUCUUCCUCUCAAAGUAUAAAAACCUAAUGUGCUUGGAGGCUACGUGAUGUUUAUAUAGCACAUAAGAAAGCCCUUCGUUCCCUCUUCCUCUUUGUGUGGUCGGCCUCGUGGUUUCAUUGGAACUUUAGGCC